CAAUUAAAGCAAAACCAACAGUCAUUCAAGAACCCCCAAAUAAACCACCAGAAAAAGAAAAAGCAAAAUAGAAAAUCAAAACAUGAAUUUGAAAGAAAACAACAGUCCAAUCUCUCUGUCAUCCCUCAAUAGCUUCUCUACUGCCAUCGUCCAUCCCCAAAGAUCCAUUACCCUCAGUAUUCACGAUGGAAUUUUGAAGAAAUUUGAACUGUCGGAGUCAUUAAAACUCAUUUCCUCAUUAUCUCAUAGACUUUCUAUCUUCUUCAGCCGCCACUUCUACUCUUGAAGACACCUUCUCAACCCAAAUCCUCAAGGAUGACCAUUUUUUUCCCUCCUUCGCCAUCAUACGGGCUGCAUGGUUCACCGAUCGACCCACAAAACAACAGUUCUUCAGCUACCAUCAUCGCUUAUAAGCAGCCUCUCACCUCAGCCGUAGUUGUAUUGGCCACAUAAUUGUUCGAGUAAGUACAAGCUGCCAGGAUAUACCUCUUGUUAACUCUAAAAAUUAUUCCAAUCAUCGAACUAAGCACGUACUUGUCAAAAACCGCGUCAAAAUUACAUUUAACUUCAUAUAACCUUGGUGGAUUCAUGUACUGUCAUUUUGACCUAUGCUUGUUAUUUUCGUUAGUUCUGUCUAAAAACUCUAUGUGUAAUAUGUUUUAAUAAAUGUGACCAAGUCAACUA